AGUGAACGCUGGCGGUAGGCCUAACACAUGCAAGUCGAACGGCAGCACAGUAAGAGCUUGCUCUUACGGGUGGCGAGUGGCGGACGGGUGAGGAAUACAUCGGAAUCUACUUUUUCGUGGGGGAUAACGUAGGGAAACUUACGCUAAUACCGCAUACGACCUACGGGUGAAAGCAGGGGAUCUUCGGACCUUGCGCGAUUGAAUGAGCCGAUGUCGGAUUAGCUGGUUGGCGGGGUAAAGGCCCACCAAGGCGACGAUCCGUAGCUGGUCUGAGAGGAUGAUCAGCCACACUGGAACUGAGACACGGUCCAGACUCCUACGGGAGGCAGCAGUGGGGAAUAUUGGACAAUGGGCGCAAGCCUGAUCCAGCCAUACCGCGUGGGUGAAGAAGGCCUUCGGGUUGUAAAGCCCUUUUGUUGGGAAAGAAAAGCAGCAGGUUAAUACCCCGCUGUUCUGACGGUACCCAAAGAAUAGCACCGGCUAACUUCGUG
rnacentral:rRNA from 1 species